AGGGCUUUCUAGAAAGCACCACCAGAGCAGAAAAUACCUGAGGUUUAUAAGGUAGCCACAGGUAAUUUGCUGCUGCUGAAAUUGUCUAAAAUGCAGGUUUUGCCACACUCUCUAUUGCUUGGCAGUGUCUAUAUCCCCCAAGGAAAUUGCUGCUGACAGCUCGACAAGUUGCUCCACACCAGCCUGCCACCUGGGUGCCAUAUCAUGGACUAGGGUCUCUCACCACACCAAACCCCAAAGGAAACACAGCAUGGGGAGAUGAUGGUUCUCCACCUUGUUCUAUUUCCAUCACUGAGUGGCUAAAUAUCCUUCCCGUGAUGCUAGAGAGUAGUUGAGGCAUUUCUUUCUGCCUGACUUGAGUUCAAGCCUCAAAUCUUGAAGGUGUGAUGGCACUCCCUUAGCCUGCUCCUUUACUCUGCAAGAACUUAGCGCCAUUGAGCCCCCAAAAAAGAAACUGGCCCUAGGGCCAGGCUGUGCCCACCACCACCUGCACAUCUCCCAGAACUUCCCACUCCCACAGUAGGGAAAGCUCAAACCUUUAGCAGAGCCAUUUUGACACACUUGGUGACUCUGAGCAUAAUAGAAAACAGACACUGACAUCCAUGGCCCCUAAGGAAACAUGGGCCCUUGCUUUAACUUGCACCUUUCCAUGCACCUUUCUGCUUGACUGCUUCCACACAAACAUCCUGUGUCUUAAAUGCAUCACCUCCAUUGGCAGCCAAGAGUCAAGUUUACUCUUAGUCAACUCUGAACUGCUACCAUGUCCCUGGAAGCAGCUGCUGAUACAAUAAAGAGACACUGAGAGCAUGCCAGCACUUAACAAUUAAUAGUUAAUGAAACACAGCCUCCCUUGUCCUCCUCUUUCAGGAGAUAAGCUUCACAGACAGCAGCACCCCACCAGGCUUAGCCCAGGGUGCUGGGCUGCACCAGGGCCACGGCCACAGCUGUAGCCAUUUGUCUGCACCUCCAAACCCUGCCUGCAACAGAGAGUGCCCUCCCAGAGUCGCAGCCUCCUCAGCUCUCUGACAGGACAGGCAAUGCCCUUUAGAAGGCAAGAGGAGGAAACCCGAGCUGCUCAAGCACCUGGCUACAAGAGGGCUGGGAGGAACCGGCUCCCAAGUGUAACUAACCAUUCAAGCCUUUCUGUCUCGUCUCUUUCCUUGCGGUGCUCCGGGAAGGAGCAGAAGCUGUCUGUAAAUUGCAGUUUAAAACCAUAAUACCCCUGCAUUGAACUGUCGUCAGAUGGUUGCAGUUUUCUAAUCUGCAUUUUGUCUGAAGGAAAUGAGAAGCAGAAUUUCUCCUUCUUCCAAAGCCCUGUUAAUUUUAAUCCUUUUGCAUGGAGCUGGAUUCAUGCUGCAGCCAGGGCAUUAAACCUGAAACAAGGUGGAUCCAAAUGGAAAAAAAUGUAGAUGAUUACUGGCCAUCUGCCAAAAAGACGCUUGGGGACGUGAAAAUUCUGGAAUCACUGAAGGUUCAUUUUGAUCAAAUAUUCAUAUUCUGAGCCAUGUAUCAACAAUUUUAGUGUUUAAAGACAAGAAGGUUGUGGAGGGGAAUACUGACACCAUCCUUCACAGGGGAGUUUACUUUCAGACUUAGAUAAAGGAGAAUAUGUUGUUAAAGAAGAAUGGAGCAAACAUUAAGAUGUGUUUAAAUGAAGGUGCAAAAGCACUGGAAACAGGAGUUGCUUCCCUCGGGGAAAGCAGUGGGUGGGGAACAGAGAGGUCAUAGUAACGCACUCAGCUUUUAAGUUAAGAUUAACCAUAUGUAUGAACAUUUGGGAAAUGCUUCAUGUAUUUUCGUUUCCACAGAUUCAUUGUACUAAUUCCAUUAGACAGGACUAUCUUUUUUAACUGAAGGAGCUGCAGUCCUACAGCCUCACAUGUGUAGGUGGAGUCCUACAUUUGAAGGCCUGAAAAUAUAGACUAGCCAACACCUUCUCAUUGCUUUCAUUCUGUGAUACUUUAUUUCUCUGGUACUGAAAGGCACCUUUUUCUUGGAAAAACUGUCUUCUCCAUCACGUUUGGUCCACUUAUUGCAGAAUAGCUUAACAAGAUCUUUCUGUGAUCAGCAGCAAGAUUUUUCUAGCAGAAUAUUUUUCUAUUCCUGAGCAUUUCACAAACCACCUCUGAUUUUCUCAGGCAGAUUUGAUAAGCUACGUUAUUCAAAUAUACAUCAACUCAUGGGCUGUGCAGAAUGUUCUUGUGUGAUUUGUCUUCAUUACUGCGCCAGUUUGAUUGCACAUCUUGGUCACAGGAACCACACGUGACAGACUGUUUCUUCCUAGUAAGCUGAGCCUAAAUGAGAUAAACCAGGGAAGUUCUGUAAACAAAUGAAAUGGUUUUGAGGGCUGUUCUGCCAAUGGAAGAUUGAUUUGUGCUCCACCUAUUCUAUCCUUGCUUCCUUAUUACUUGCAUUUCCUCAACAAACAUGCCAUGAAUAUAAAAAUAUGAAACAAAUAAUUAAAACUAGCCAUAAGUGAAAAAUUCCUACUGCAGGGAGAUCCAUUUGGACUUAGCAAAUUGGUGUCCGAAUGCUUUUUACUUUGUUAGGGGCAGUGAGAGGGGAACGAAGACAAGGUCAGACGUUUGAGGCCAUCCCUAUGAGGGAGUAAUGGCAUUCUCAGGACUUACUCACUUGGAUUUGGCAGAGACAGCCUACCAUCCACAUCAGACCAUGGGUAGAAAUGAAGUUUUGUGCCUACUCUUGGCUUUGCAGACAGGUGCAGAACUGAUAGGGGUUUACACAUCAGAAAUGUCAAAGACAGCUUGGCCGUGGUCUGUUUUUUACCUUUAAUUUCCCUGCUGUCUAGGUUCAACCUUGCUUUCCCACCUUAUCCCCAUCCAGGAAUGGUUAGGUCAGCUUUUGAUAGGGUAAGACUUAAUGAGGAGUUUCUCCAUUUCACCAUUGCCCAUGUUUUUCCCAGCCUAGACAGUGCUGUGUGUUGCAAGGUAGAGCAUAGAUUCCACAUUCACUCCCGUUGAUGGUGUGUCAAGCAGUGACAAUCUGGCACUUGGUUUCUGACGCAACUCAUAUCAAAGAAAUCUGCAUAUGACACAUACAUUAAAAAGAUAUUUUUGGUUCUUUGUGCUCUGGUUUUAUAAUAUAAAAAUGGCCAAGCCAUCUCCAGUGGUGCAUCUAGACCAGCUCCAUAUGGUCAAACGCAAGAAUAAAAGCAAACUAAGAACUGAGUGGUAUUUCAUUUUCCAAUAGUCCCAGAGACUUAGCUUACUGGUUUUCUAAGACAAAGACUAAUUUUGCACCUUUGUGUUUAGUAGUCUUUGAUGAAUGUUUCUUUUGCUUACAUAUCUAACUGCCUUUUCAACUGAUUUAUACCUGGGCACCAGUGAAAUGAAGUGGGAGAUGCAGACUGUCUUUACCAGUGAGAAUUCUCACUCUUUUAUCUUUUUACAUUAAAUGAUAUUAGACACAAGACUAACACUUUUUUUAAAGUUGUUUCAGAACAGGUUAUUUCUGAUAUGAGAAGAAAUAUAACAAAUUCCAAUCAAAAUGUGAUAAUUUUAGGAAGGGUAGAUGUUGCUGUAAAUAAGGCUCGGAAUGAGAGGAAAAAAAAAAAAAAAAGACUUUUGAGCUCUAGAUAUAGCACUAUAACAAGAGAUUGUAUAGAAAAUUAAUGACAGCAUUUUAGCUAGCUGAACUGACCAGAGUGACUAUUUGAUUUUAACCCUGCUAAGAGCACCACAUAAGUAAUUAAAGCUGUUGGGUAUGACGACUGAAAGGGGCACGCAGAGCUUGGCAACACUGCUCCCACCCUGCAGGGCCACAUCCCCAUCUCUCUGCCCAGGCACAGAAGACUUAGGGAACACUCUGAACCGGCCGCAUGCCUGCCCACCCAGCACUGAGAUGCCCUGAGAUGUACCAGCAGGCACAGAGAUGGGACCCUCUCUUGCCAAGAGGCCAGUUUGUCAGCUCCCUCCCUACUAGAAGCAGCUGGCAGGGCUGCCUGUGUCACUCCUUUUGGCCAAAACCGCCAGGUCACUAGUUUACCCACUGAGGAUUGCUGGUUCAUAGCAGGUUCCCCUUCAGUGAUGGCAGGUCCCAAAAUAGUAAGCACCUUUUUUAGGUGGGAAUUUUCAAGUUUUCAGUGUCCAUUAUAGGAAAAUAAAGACAAGCCAUGCGGACAUUAUUUCCCCAGAGAAUUAACAAACUGGGAAUGCCGGCAUCUGGUGUGAAAGCUGUGCUCAUGAUCUAUUCAGAAUAAAGGCAUUAUGAAAGGAGAGGGAGAACAUGGUUUUGUGUUUGCCAUUAGAAGUGUUGUUAUGGUGCUCUGUGUUCUGUUACACAUUUUAUUAGGAUAAUAAUUUCAGUAAACUACAUCUGGCUUUCCUGAAGGCUGUCCCCUCAGGUUAAGCAGGCUGUCUAAAAAUAUCUCCGUUUUUUCUUAAA